GGGGUUGUGGCUUAGUGGUAGAGCUCUUGCCUAACACGUGCAAGGAGCUAGCUUCGAACCUCAGCACCA
rnacentral:tRNA from 1 species